AUAUUGACUUUAAUUGCAAUCUGAACAUCAUACAUUGCUGUGCAUAUUGCAAAUAUGCAAAACACUUUAGAAAACUUACAUUAAUCAUAAAACAUGAAGUAAACUCAUUUGAACCAGGACAUAAUAAUUAACUAAAUGUGUGGUUUAAGUAUGCACACAUGCUCAUUUGUAGGAGUAUACAAGCCUCUGUGCACAUUGUUUACUUGGUUACCAUUCUCAACAAAAAUGACUGAUUAACCUUAAAUUGCAGUCCAAGAUGACAGGUUAUUCUGCUCUGACUACACACAGUGAAAUCUUAAUACAUACUUAUCAAUAUGAUAUCAGAGGUAUGGUAUUACAUGGGGAAUUUUUACUAAUAUACAGACACUAUACAAUGAACUUCGCCAACAUGUGGGUAUCACACAAUGAUCUUCACCAACAUGUAGGUAUUACAGUGAACUUCACCAAUAUGUAGGUAUCACACAAUAAUCUUCACCAACAUGUUGGUAUUACAGUGAACUUCACCAACAUGUAGGUAUUACACAAUGAUCUUCACCAACAUGUUGGUAUUAUAGUGAACUUCACCAACAUGUAGGUAUUACACAAUGAUCUUCACCAACAUGUAGGUAUUACAGUGAACUUCACCAAUAUGUAGGUAUCACACAAUAAUCUUCACCAACAUGUUGGUAUUACAGUGAACUUCACCAACAUGUAGGUAUUACACAAUGAACUUCACCAACAUGUAGAUAUUACAGUGAACUUCACCAAUAUGUAGGUAUUACAGUGAACUUCACCAACAUGUAGGUAUUACAGUGAACUUCACCAACAUGUAGGUAUUACAAUGAACUUCACCAACAUGUAGGUAUUACAAUGAACUUCACCAACAUGUAGGUAUUACACAAUGAACUUCACCAAUAUGUAGGUAUUACAGUGAACUUCACCAACAUGUAGGUAUUACACAAUGAACUUCACCAACAUGUAGGUAUUACAGUGAACUUCACCAACAUGUAGGUAUUACACAGUGAUCUUCACCAACACAUAGGUAUUAUACAAUGAAGUAUUACAGUGAACUUCACCAACAUGUUGGUAUUACAGUGAACUUCACCAACAUGUAGGUAUUACAGUGAACUUCACCAUAAUGUAGGUAUUACACAGUGAUCUUCACCAACACAUAGGUAUUAUACAAUGAAGUAUUACAGUGAACUUCACCAACAUGUUGGUAUUACAGUGAACUUCACCAACAUGAAGGUAUUACACAAUGAACUUCACCAACAUGUAGGUAUUACAGUGAACUUCGCCAAUAUGUAGGUAUUACACAAUGAUCUUCACCAACAUGUUGGUAUUAUAGUGAACUUCACCAACAUGUAGGUAUUACACAAUGAUCUUCACCAACAUGUAGGUAUUACAGUGAACUUCACCAACAUGUAGGUAUUACAGUGAACUUAACCAACAUGUAGGUAUUACAGUGAACUUAACAAACAUGUAGGUAUUACAGUGAACUUCAACAACAUGUUGGUAUUACAGUGAACUUAACCAACAUGUUGGUAUUACAGUGAACUUCACCAACAUGUAGGUAUUACACAAUGAACUUCACCAACAUGUAGGUAUUACACAAUGAACUUCACCAACAUGUAGGUAUUACAGUGAACUUCAACAUGUUGGUAUUACAGUGAACUUCACCAACAUGUAGGUAUCACACAAUGAACUUCACCAACAUGUAGGUAUUACAGUGAACUUCAACAAAAUGUUGGUAUUACAGUGAACUUCACCAACAUGUUGGUAUUACAGUGAACUUCACCAACAUGUAGGUAUUACACAAUGAACUUCACCAACAUGUAGGUAUUACACAAUGAACUUCACCAACAUGUAGAUAUUACACAAUGAACUUCACCAACAUGUAGGUAUUACACAAUGAACUUCACCAACAUGUUGGUAUUACAGUGAACUUCACCAACAUGUAGGUAUUACACAGUGAACUUCACCAACAUGUAGGUAUUACACAAUGAUCUUCACCAACAUGUAGGUAUUACACAAUGAACUUCACCAACAUGUAGGUAUUACACAAUGAACUUCACCAACAUGUAGGUAUUACAGUGAACUUCACCAACAUGUAGGUAUUACAGUGAACUUCACCAACAUGUUGGUAAACAGUGAACUUCACCAACAUGUAGGUAUUACAGUGAACUUCACCAACAUGUAGGUAUUACAGUGAGCUUUACCAACAUGAAGCAACAAAAAGCUGUAAUGAGCCUGUUUUUUAUUUGUGUUUAUUGUAACUUGAAACAAAUUUUUUUUUGAGACCAAGAUAGUGAAAUGGAUUUUUACAAUAUUUGGUUUUAUAAUAUACUGGGGUAAGCAAGAAAUAAAAAAAA